rnacentral:rRNA from 1 species
UUGGAGGGCAAGUCUGGUGCCAGCAGCCGCGGUAAUUCCAGCUCCAAUAGCGUAUAUUAAAGUUGUUGCAGUUAAAAAGCUCGUAGUUGAAUUUCGGGGUUCUACCGUUGGUCGGGCUAACCAGUCUGUACUAGCGUGUAAAAUUCCUACCUUCUGGAGAACCAUCAUGUUAUUAAUUUAGCGUGGUGGGAAACCAGGACCUUUACCUUGAAAAAAUUAGAGUGUUCAAAGCAGGCUUACGUCUGAAUACAUUAGCAUGGAAUAAUAGAAUAGGACGGUGGUCCUGUUUUGUUGGUUUCUGAAUCACCGUAAUGAUUAAUAGGGAUAGUUGGGGGCAUUAGUAUUCAAUUGUCAGAGGUGAAAUUCUUGGAUUUAUUGAAGACUAACUUCUGCGAAAGCAUUUGCCAAGGAUGUUUUCAUUAAUCAAGAACGAAAGUUAGGGGAUCGAAGACGAUCAGAUACCGUCGUAGUCUUAACCAUAAACUAUGCCGACUAGGGAUCGGAUGAUGUUAAUUUUUUAAUGACUCGUUCGGCGCCUUACGGGAAAC